UGAGGUUUGUGAAUAUGUUACAAUUUUUGUUCUACUGUCCAGUUCUGAAAUUGAGGAGGUUAUUGAUAAUUUAUAAUUAAUGUAUAAAAUUGAGUGAUAGAAUUCUUAUUAUUUUUAUUUUAGAUUUUAGUAUAUGAUAUUCGUUCAGAUAAACCAUUUUACGUAAAAGAUCAUAUGUAUGGGUUACCUAUUAAAGAUAUUGAAUUUCAUAAAUCGCAGAAUUUGGUUAUCUCAAUGGACAGCAAAAUUGUCAAAUUAUGGGAUGCUAAUAAUGGCAAAAUUUUUACAUCAAUCCAAGCUACAACCGAUUUGAAUGAUUUGUGUGUUGUGCCUGAUUCAGGCUUAAUCUUCUUGGCACAUGAAGAGAGAAAAGUUUUAACUUAUUACAUUCCUG